GAUGAACGCUAGCUACAGGCUUAACACAUGCAAGUCGAGGGGUAACGAGAGGGAAGCUUGCUUUCCUUGUCGACGACCGGCGCACGGGUGAGUAACGCGUAUCCAACCUGCCCCCAACUAGGGAAUAACCUUGCGAAAGUAAGACUAAUACCCUAUAAUUUCCUCAGAUGUCAUCUGACGAGGAAUAAAGAUUUAUCGGUUGUGGAUGGUGAUGCGUCUGAUUAGCUUGUUGGCGGGGUAACGGCCCACCAAGGCAACGAUCAGUAGGGGUUCUGAGAGGGAGGUCCCCCACAUUGGAACUGAGACACGGUCCAAACUCCUACGGGAGGCAGCAGUGAGGAAUAUUGGUCAAUUGGCGGAAGCCUGAACCAGCCAAGUAGCGUGCAGGAUGACGGCCCUAUGGGUUGUAAACUGCUUUUAUACAGAAAUAAAGUUAGCCACGUGUGGUUAUUUGUAGGUACUGUAUGAAUAAGGACCGGCUAAUUCCGUGCCAGCCGCCGCAGUAA
rnacentral:rRNA from 1 species